AAAGCCAAAGAAAAGGAAACUAGUGGGCAAAGGAAGCAUGCCAACGAUAAUCAUGAGAAGAUAAGAUAAUAGCGUAAUCAGAAAGGUCCACGUUGAAAUUAAAGUAUAAAAGAAAUAAAGCUUGUGUGCAUGAUAAGACAUUGAAUAGAACUGUUUAGCAAUUCAGAGCCUUGAAACACAUGAUGUCGCCAAAGAUUUAUAUUUUCUUAUGUUCUAUUGUAGCUUUAUUCCUUUUACAUUCAAGUUCGUCUUUAAGCGAGGAAACUGACGGUGAUUCUUUAUCGGAAGAAGUGGAGAGUUCGCACAUUCAGCCUUGGAAGCGUUUUCCAUGUAUAGUUGGCGCACGUUGGCGUGUACGAAGAUGCCGAACUGGCCGAAGAUUCUUUCACAAACAGGACCAGCAAGUUCAGUUCACUGAGGAACCAGCGAUGGGACAAGAAACGACUACAAAUUGAUUCAAAAGAACAGAAACUUGAGCAUGUAGAAGUCCUGGUAACGUUUCGUUGAGAGCGAGACAAACAGUGCUGGAAGCUGCGACCAAGACCUCCCGGAGGACUCAGAAAAAAUAGCUGAAUGACAAGACGGUUUAUAAUUUUAUGACCGUUAAAGGAUUGUUCAUCAAGAUUUAGAUAGCAUGUCAUUGCUUGUAAAGAAAAAUGAAACAAGGAAAUAAAUUAAAAAGUAAAAGAUAAA